AUCAGGUGUUACUCUGAAGCUUUGAGUAAUCUAUUUUCUUAUUUUUCUCUCUGCCCUUUCUUCUUCCCUCCCCCUUUUCAAGCAGGGAGCUAGUCCUGUGUUCAUUGAACUCAAGGGAAGUGGGUGGAGGGCAGAAAGCAGAAAUCCUGGCUUUUGCUUUUAAAAGCCUAAGCCCCAAAGAGAUGAGAAGAUUCAGGGCAUGGAUAAUGUAUCUUGAUCAGGACUAUGGAGCAAGAAGGAUUUCCUCCCCUUUGAAGACUGUCAUUCCUGUUUACAGUGAAUGAGAGUAGAGGAGUCUAUGGAUCCUGAAGGAGGAACCCGGCCUUGUCUUCUUGGAGGUGUGCUGAGAAAGGGAUGCCUGUGCGUAUCCAGGGAGACCUAUAAAAAGAUCCAAGGUCUCAGGAACAGCCUAUAGAAGAAGCAAGGGGGCUCACUCAGAUCUGAAGAAGCCAUGCUGUGAAAUAUGACUUGAUGACCAGAAGGUCUCCUAGUGCCUUGGUGCCUCAGAAACAGCCUUCUCUUUGGACACAGGGAUGAAGGAUGCCAAAACAGACUGAAAUUAAGUUUCCUGCCAGCCCUGGAAUGAGUGCUCAAAUAGAAAUUAAGCAAACAUUUGGAUCAUAUCAGCGGUACUGGCAGGCAAUCUCUACCUUGUGCCUAGCUGGAAGCACCCCAGAUCUCCUUUAUGCCAGCUGCUCAUCCGUUCCAGGUGGACAGCUUUGCCAAGUGCCCUCCUGGAUCAUCCAUCAUGUCAGCCAGGGGCAGAGAGUCAUGCAAUAUAGAGGAUGUUGGGACCACUUCUGUGUAUCCACUUCUGUAUCCAAGGAUACAGCCAAGGGGCAGGGCUUGGAAUUUCCAGCCUUCAGCAGCUAUUCCUGUAGAAAUAGAGAUGGAGGUCAGAGAUCUCACAGGCUCCCUCAAACAGAACUGCAUCUCAUCUCGAGCCUCCCAGCUCUGUGCCUACAUGCUGCCCCAGACCUCAGGCUGUCCACUGAUGUCAGCAUUGCCUGCACCGGGGUGACCCUCAUUUCUUUGUGCAUCUCCUUCAUCUCUGCCAGCUCUGGGUAUGGAGCUAGGAACAAGUGCUACUUUGUUGGACUGUAUCAGCUGGGAUCAACUUGCUGGACUCUUGUGACAGGGCUGAAAGUUCAGUGGAUGGACUGCUGUUUGGGAAAGUUGGUGAUAGGCCCACAGUAAUCCCAUCCAAGGGUCAUGUCAUCUCCAGCUCCUCCUUGCCUCAUAUCCCCAAAGUCUCCUCUUCUUCUUCCCUGAGUUCCUCCCCUUCUCACCCCAACACAAGAGCUUUUGUGAAAAGCUUAUGUUCCCUGACUAUAGCAGAAUUCUCUUUAAAAGAAAGCUUACCUUUCUAACUCCAAAAGCUUCAUGAGCUAUUUAACGGUAAUUAUAUUUAUUAUGGAUAAUUUUCUAUACAUUCAUCCAGUCUGGGGUGUAUGCCUUAUCCCCCUUUAUGGCUUGAUCAGAAAUUUAAGAUUUUCCUCCCAGCUCACUCUCCUCUCAUACGGAUAUUGUCUAAAAGGAAAUAUAUACAGUGUUCUUAAAUGAUGCUGUCACCUCUCACUCAAGGGAAGGAAAAACUGUUCCAG
rnacentral:lncRNA from 1 species